rnacentral:lncRNA from 1 species
AUGUACCCGACUUAAGUCUGAGCUGACCUGAUAUCUCUCUUUUUCAAUUCUCUUUUUUUAUUGUCCUUUUUAGGUACAGUUGUAACAAAUGGACAAGCGAGUGUUAUGCAGAUGACAGUGAUGCAUUGACACCCCUUACUGCCCGCCUGCCAAAAUAAUGAUCACUUGAUGGAGGAAUCCCUAACAUUUGAUGGCUAAGAGCUAUUAUUGAGAGGCAGAGUGGCCCCUUCUGCCUCUGGAUCCUUCAAGUACACCAACUUCCACUUUCCCUCCCACCUUGGAUUACUGGGACUGGUUGCUUGGAUUGCUGGGAUCCUGAGCUAACCCUCAUAUUUGAGGAGAGCAACUAGAACUCCCUGCCUCUGACAGAAGCAGCUGGCGAACCCACAUUAACUAUGCUGCCACCACCUUUGAAGAUGAGCGACGUCGACGUCUUGCCGCUGCGCAUGAACGCCGACACCAGGCCACAACCGCACCUCCCAUAACAACUGGCAUCCCAUGCCCCAUGUGCCACAAACUUUGCGCCUCAACCUUUGGACUCCAAAGCCACAUGAGGGUACACCGUAGAUGAAACUGCACAAAGACAAUAGUCAUACUCGAUCACCGAGAGACUACCACUACUAAUGUUCUCUCUCUGUCCUUUGGUCAUAAAUUCUUCCCUUCUGUAUAGAUUUGCCAGGUAAACUAUUCUAUAUUUCCAGAAUUUACUUAUGAUAUCAUCCUUUAUGUAUAAAUGAUAGACCAUCUUUUGGUAUAAGGUAUGAGAUAUUGGUCUAUAUUUAGUUUCUACUGAGAAGAUUGGACUUAGCUAUCUCCUGAUUGAAACAGUGAAUAUACUUAGCUCUUCCUUUAUUGUGAUGAUUAAAUUGUAACCCCCUGAUUGUAACAAUG